rnacentral:lncRNA from 1 species
CCUUGGGCCCCGUAGCGCUCGUGAUGGGAUUUUGGGGGAUAAUGCUGCCGGCUUGAGUCUUGGGGAGAGGACCAUGGGCCCCAGUGGGCUGUUUGUGCAGAGGUAGCGCGGUAAAGGAAGGACUUGUUUGCCUUUUUAUCCUACCGCGUUCUUCGAAUGACCCUUCAUCUACAACGGACUGCUCCUUGGAACUGGACUCUAGCCUGCAUUUGUGAAAGACCACAAAACGCCAAGAAAAAUAAAAUUCAUGCUUGCUAAUGCUUCCCAGGGACUCUUGCCUCUUCUGCAUUGUUAAAAAAGAAUGAACAAGAACAGAUGUUAAGAAGCCUGGUCAUGAAGGAUCAUAUUUAAAAGCAUUGGUUCCUGUUGUAUCACCAUGGUAGACAAGAGGAUUACCUGGGUCUUAAGUCUCCUGUCCUCUGAAAAACCUCAGAGGCUUUGGUUUCUAAGAAAGAAAAGCUUCUGUCUUAGCUGACCUGCUAGUUAUUCACUGCUCCUCACUUUGGACUGAGAUUCUAGGGCUAAAGGAAUAUUUUUAAAGGAACCUGAUUUUAUCUCCCACUUCCAAGAAGUACCUGUUUCCUUAUGGCUUCUAGUACUUAUAGACUUCUGUUACUGCAUGUUCAUUGUUGUUCUUUACCAUCCUUUCUUAGCUUUCUUUACAUUACAUUUCCAUUUGUAAAUUCAGGACCCAAAUACGCUAUCAUAAAUAACAGCUAUUUAUUGGGUCGUUUUCUCUGCCAAUAAACAUUUAAGGCUUUAAUGACUAGAAUCUCCAUCCUAGGAUAAGCCCUGGUAAGCUUGCAUCUGACUUACACUGCUAUUUAUUUCCAUUUGGAAAUGCUUUGGUGGCAACAGUUUUGGAAAAACUGGGCUGCGGACCUUAGUUUGACUUGUGUUUAACAGUAUUAUUUGCUAAAUAAAUUCUAUAAUGCUUAGAAAGCAUCUUUUUGGAAGUUCCUUUGUUCUAUGCACAAAUGGCUCCAAGCUUCUAGGUGGAGAGUUCAUACCAACCCAAGUUAUUUGUGCUUUAUCACAGGUGACAGUGAAUACACUAAUUGGGUAUUUUAUAUGAUGCUGGGAGGAAGGUAGUUGGGGAACAGGAAGAAAAGUAACCAUCAAAGGUCCUAGUACUCCAUAUCUGAGCAUACUUGGAACUAAAUCCUGGAUACUUACUAGAUGUACUGGGGAAAAUACUUCACAAAUAUCAUUCCCAUGUUCACCGCUGUUGACC